AUGGUUGACCUCGGAUCAGGUAGGGAUACCCGCUGAACUUAAGCAUAUCAAUAAGCGGAGGAAAAGAAACCAACAGGGAUUACCUCAGUAACGGCGAGUGAAGCGGUAAAAGCUCAAAUUUGAAAUCUGGCCCUCUCAGGGUCCGAGUUGUAAUUUGUAGAAGAUGCUUCGGGUGUGGUUCCGGUCUAAGUUCCUUGGAACAGGACGUCAUAGAGGGUGAGAAUCCCGUAUGUGACUGGAUACCUACGCCCAUGUGAAGCUCUUUCGACGAGUCGAGUUGUUUGGGAAUGCAGCUCAAAAUGGGUGGUAUAUUUCAUCUAAAGCUAAAUAUUGGCCAGAGACCGAUAGCGCACAAGUAGAGUGAUCGAAAGAUGAAAAGCACUUUGGAAAGAGAGUUAAACAGUACGUGAAAUUGUUGAAAGGGAAGCGCUUGCAAUCAGACUUGCGCUCGGGGUUCAGCGGGGCUUCUGCCCCGUGUACUUCCCCGAGCUCAGGCCAGCAUCGGUUUGGGUGGUUAGAUAAAGGCCUGGAGAAUGUGGCCCUCUUCGGGGGGUGUUAUAGCUCCAGGUGCAAUGUAGCCUACCUGGACCGAGGACCGCGCUUCGGCUAGGAUGCUGGCGUAAUGGUUGUAAGCGAC
rnacentral:rRNA from 1 species